CAGGAGCUAGUUUAAAUAAAAUAGUUGUUUUGGGGACAACCGAUACAAAAUUAACUUUGUGCACCUGA
rnacentral:tRNA from 1 species